rnacentral:rRNA from 1 species
UACGGGGGGGGUAAGCGUUGUUCGGAAUUACUGGGCGUAAAGGGCUCGUAGGCGGCCAACUAAGUCGGACGUGAAAUCCCUCAGCUUAACUGGGGAACUGCGUCCGAUACUGGAUGGCUUGGAUUUGGGAGAGGGAUGCGGGAUUCCAGGUGUAGCGGUGAAAUGCGUAGAUAUCGGGAGGAACACCAAUGGCGAAGGCAGCUCGCUGGGACGUUACUGACGCUGAGACGCGAAAGCGUGGGGAGCAAACAGG